rnacentral:rRNA from 1 species
GCUUACCAAACUGAGCAUGCCCUCUUCUGAUCUUGAAAGCUAAGCAGGGUUGGGCCUGGUUAGUACUUGGAUGGGAGACUGGAAUACCAAGUGUUAUAAGCU